rnacentral:lncRNA from 10 species
CUUGAGGAGCUUGUUAAACUCACUCUCCAAAACGCAGGUAUUUCUUUGGAGGCCAAGUCACAUGGGAACCUCUUUGUCCACCUUCCCUCUCAGGGCCCAAAUAUCCCUCUCCAAAGAUUCAGAAGCAAAAUGGGAGGAAGUUGACAAUGAUGACAAUCUAUGCCUGACUUCAGCCCCAAGGAAGGUUUGACCUAGAGAGGUGUGAAGAUGUCAAACCUACACUGUCCAAUAUGGUAGCCAGUAGCACAUGUGACUCUUUACAUUGACUUUUAAAUGGACUACAAUUAAAUAAAAUUUAAAAAUCCAUUUCACGGGCAUACCAGCCACAUUUCAAGUAUGUCGUAGCUGCAUGUAACUAAUGGCUACUAUACCGGAAAGCACACACAGAAAAUGUUUCAUCAUCACAUAAAAUUCUGUUGAACAAAUCUGUGUUGAAUAACAACACACUUAGGACUGUGUUCAAUCCUAAGUUGAACACAAUCCUUAGGAUCUUGCUGAAUGGACAGAGCUGCAGUGGGAAAGGAGAAGAGUGAGGCUCUAGGAAAAUCCUGCCCUCUAAAAAAUGAAGGGCUCGUUCUAUGGUUGGCCUCCAUGCCAUGACCAAAGAUCAUGGACAGGUUAAAUCGAUUAGGAAAGCACUUCUCACAUAUCUAACCUGCCCUGCCAUGGGUUCAAUUUACGUAGUACACUGGACAAUGUAGCUUGAAUCCUAAAUUCAAAUGUGUUAAAUAUUCUUAGUAUUCCGUCUGUAUACUAACAAAGAAAAAAAUGUUAAGUGACUGUGCCACGCUCUCCUUCCAGAGCAGUGUUUCUUAAUUUCAGCACUACUGACAUUUUGGGCCAGAUAAGUCUUUGCUGUGGGGGCUUGUCCCACGCACUGCAGGAUGUUUGGCAGCACCCCUGGCCUCCACCCUCUAGAUGCUGGGAGCACUCUCCACCUCCACCCCCAUUGUAACAACUAAAAAUGUUGCCAGACGUUACCCAGUGUACGCUGGAGGGAAAAAUCACUCCAGGGUGAGGGCCACUGAUCUAGAAUAUGAUACAUGGCAUCUGUGAUAUGAGAAAAUGACCUUGGGCCUGGUCGUAAAAGAAUGUGCCACCUCCUCACCUGAAACACAACCAAGCAGUGGCCCGUGACUGACUUGGCAAAAUAACACUUUGUUCAGAGGAAGCUCAUAAAACAGUUUUGGCCGGGAGGAUGAGCUAACCUCAUAAUAGGUACUUGAGAGAAGCCACCCCGCUAAUGCAUGCUGUGUACCAUGAUUAGGAUUGACUUAACUAGGGUGAAGAAAUCAUAUAAUUUGCUGUGUCUACAGAUAUGUAAGUAAUCCAAAUGUGUGUUUCUUUUUUAAGUAUCAAAGGAUAAUUCUAGAAUAAAAUUCAUAGUCACAGUCAUAUUAAAAAACGUCCACAUUUUCAAAAGUCUAACUACAUUUUUCACUCUCCUCUAAAAAUGGAGACACAACACUGUGUUCUAACCUGAAGAUUUGCAUACUCAAUUCUAACUCAAAACUUUAUCUGCUGACAUCCGUGCUUCAUAAAUAAUUCCCAUGUGAUAAUUAUGUAUCUUGAGCAGAAUUACCAAUGCAUUUGUCUUGAAUGCUUAAUAUAUUUAAUGGGAAAUGUCUCGGGAAUUUUCAGUUCUGUCACUGCCAAGAGGAGGAAGUAUUAACCAUUCAGAAUAAGAUACUCACAUUAGAUUUUGUGCAUUAAGAAAGUCACAACUGAGGCUGUAGGACUUAAAUAGAUGUUUCUCCAGAGAAACAAUAGUCACUACUACACUCCCUUUCCUCCCUUAAAAGGCUGUCCAUUCCUAAAGGGUAGGGACUAUAUGUUCUUCCAGUACCUCUACUAGUGUUCUGUGCAUAUUAGGCAUUUAAUACAAUUUUUGUGCAUGAACAGACAGACUCAGAACAAAGCCUCUGAGUAUAUUGCCAUCCAGCUUGGAUGAGGAUAUAAGUCUCUUAAUCCCCAACUUAUCUUGUUUUCUAACACAAGCAAUAUAUGGGGAAUUAUGCUUAAGAGGCUGUGCCACUUUGUAUUUAAAAACCCAACUCUGUUUUUUAGACUCCUUGUUCCUUAAGUUGGUUAUGUGUUAGGUGACCUUGCUAGUUCCCUAAUUUUUCCAAGUUUCCAUUUUCUCACCAAUAAAUCGAGACUAAUUAAUAAUGACACAUUAAUUUGAGGUCUAAAUGAGAAAAUCUACACAAGGCUUUUAGCACACUGCCUGACACAUAGAAAGUGUUUUCUAAAUGCUAGCUAUUAUUUUUAUGGCAUAAUUCUGUCAUAGAUCCAAAAAGACUUUUUUAUUUUUAAAAAAUCAUAGUCGCAUUUUUUUAAUUAUUACUUUUCUUCUCUUUGAAGUCAAUCCUCUCAACACAGCUUGAGAAUUGCAAUGAAUUUGGGGAUCUGAGAAACAAUCUUUUCUAAAUAUUUGUAUGUUAUUUGGAAACAAUUACAGUGGCAAAAGAGAACAAGAGGCUACCUUUUAGUAUCAAUCUAUCUGUACACUUAAAAAAAAAAAAAAAAAGAAAAAAGCAGCCCAUGACAAGUACAUGCUGAUUUUUAAGAAGAGGUGAGGUAAAAGUGGUACAGCUUUAUUAAGUACAAGAACUUAACAAUCCCUUUUAUUAAACAGAACUUGAAUUUGUAUUACACUGAAUUUAUAGAUCAAUUUGAGGAGGAUUGAUAUGGGUAUGAUAUGGAGUCUUGUUAUUUAAUAAUGUGGUUUCUCACUUAGGAUUGUCUUAUAUCUUUCAAUAAUUUUAGAAUUCUUUUUUAAAAGUUCUUGCAUAUCAUUUCUCAGGUUUGCUUUAAACGGCUGUACAGAUUUUUGAAUGGGGU